rnacentral:rRNA from 1 species
AUUCAACAUGGAACGAGUGGCGGACGGGUGAGUAACACGUGGGUAACCUGCCCUUAAGUGGGGGAUAACAUUUGGAAACAGAUGCUAAUACCGCAUAGAUCCAAGAACCGCAUGGUUCUUGGCUGAAAGAUGGCGUAAGCUAUCGCUUUUGGAUGGACCCGCGGCGUAUUAGCUAGUUGGUGAGGUAAUGGCUCACCAAGGCGAUGAUACGUAGCCGAACUGAGAGGUUGAUCGGCCACAUUGGGACUGAGACACGGCCCAAACUCCUACGGGAGGCAGCAGUAGGGAAUCUUCCACAAUGGACGCAAGUCUGAUGGAGCAACGCCGCGUGAGUGAAGAAGGCUUUCGGGUCGUAAAACUCUGUUGUUGGAGAAGAAUGGUCGGCAGAGUAACUGUUGUCGGCGUGACGGUAUCCAACCAGAAAGCCACGGCUAACUACGUGCCAGCAGCCGCGGUAAUACGUAGGUGGCAAGCGUUAUCCGGAUUUAUUGGGCGUAAAGCGAGCGCAGGCGGUUUUUUAAGUCUGAUGUGAAAGCCCUCGGCUUAACCGAGGAAGCGCAUCGGAAACUGGGAAACUGGAGUGCACAAUAGGACA